GACGAACGCUGGCGGCGUGCUUAACACAUGCAAGUCGAACGGAAAGGCCCUGCGUUUGUGGGGUGCUCGAGUGGCGAACGGGUGAGUAACACGUGAGUAACCUGCCCUUGACUUUGGGAUAACUUCAGGAAACUGGGGCUAAUACCGGAUAGGAGCUCCUGCUGCAUGGUGUGGGUUGGAAAGUUUCGGCGGUUGGGGAUGGACUAGCGGCUUAUCAGCUUGUUGGGGGGGUAGUGGCUUACCAAGGCUUUGAAGGGUAGCCGGCCUGAGAGGGUUACCGGCCACAUUGGGACUGAGAUACGGCCCAGACUCCUACGGGAGGCAGCAGUGGGGAAUAUUGCACAAUGGGCGGAAGCCUGAUGCAGCAACGCCGCGUGCGGGAUGACGGCCUUCGGGUUGUAAACCGCUUUCGCCUGUGACGAAGCGUGAGUGACGGUAAUGGGUAAAGAAGCACCGGCUAACUACGUG
rnacentral:rRNA from 1 species